rnacentral:rRNA from 1 species
AUUGAACGCUGGCGGCAUGGUUAAAGCAUGCAAGUCGAACGCGAACCACCUUCGGGUGGGGAAAGUGGCGAAAGGGCGAGGAAUACGAUCGAAUGUGCCCCGAGGUGGGGGAUAGCGUCGAGAAAUCGGCGGUAAUACCCCAUGUGCUCUACGGAGGAAAGGUUUACCGCCUUGGGAGCAGCGAUCGUCCUAUCAGGUAGUUGGUGGGGUAAUGGCCUACCAAGCCGAAGACGGGUAGCGGGUGUGAGAGCAUGACCCGCCGCAUCGGAACUGAGACACUAUCCGGACUCCUACGGGAGGCUGCAGCGACGAAUAUUCCGCAAUGGGCGAAAGCCUGACGGAGCAAUGCCGCGUGUGGGAUGAAGCGCCUUCGGCGUGUAAACCACUGUCAGGUCCUAGGAACACUGACCAGGACCAGAGGAAGGGCCGGGCUAACCUCGUGCCAGCAGCCGCGGUAAAG